UACCCCGCCCCCCUGUCACGGGUGUAGAUUGAUCUCGUUAACUCCGUGACAACUCUUACAUAUUUGUUUUGCUGAGAUGUACCUGUGGUUUGAAGCCAAUCAGUGUAAAAUUAGAUGAUAUUUCUUUACAAGGUGAUAAUUUGCAGACAUGAAUUUACGUUGUUUUGAUAACAGCAUUGUUUUUUUUUUCACUUGUCAUUUAAAAAUGUUAGUUUCCCCAUGUACUUAUGAAAAUAUUAUAAAACUUUUGAGAAAUAUGAACUUUUCCUAAUAAAUUUUCUCAUAUUUUUAAGGUGAAAUAUUGAGGAAAAGAAAAGGGAAAAGAAGAAAAGCUCAGCUCGAUCAUCAGAACAGCACUGCUUUUGCUAGAGAUUCACCAGAACAAGAAAUCAAAACAUCGGCCUUGAACUUAAGAGUGAAGAUGAAAUCCAACUUCAGAUUCAUUGCUUAGUUCUAGCUUUACUAUUUGUCAUGUCAUAACUUUCUAAAUAUUUGUUGAAACUGCUCUUGGGAAUUCUCAUGUUUGUUGCAAAAGACUGGUCAUACUAAUUCCAUUAAGGGAAAACAUUGCCCUAGCUGUAAACAAAAAGCAGCUGGACUGUGCUGAUGAGCUCCAGUGAGAGUGCAGUUUAUGCACGUUUUGUUGUAGGUAGGCAUUUGUGUAUUGUCUGCUUCUCUAGCAAAGUUUUGUUUUAUCUUGGAGCUGGUACUGUCUGCACCAAAAUGCAUACAAAUAAUCUUCCCAUGAGCUCUUGGAAAAGUAAAUGCACCACAAAUAGAAGUAGUUGCAAAAAAUAAGCCUGAAAAUUGGUCUGAGAACUAGUUGAGGACCAAAGAACAGCUGGACUGGGCAAGUCACGGCCACUUAGGCCCUUGCUGGAAUCUGGGAUAUUUUGUUUCCAGAAGACACUUCUUGUCAUUUUGUUCAUGAUUUGCAAAUAGAAUUGCUUUGUUUUUUUUUUUUUUCUUCAGGAAGAAAGAAAAACAAAGCAAAACAAAAGAAAACAAAGCACUAGCAAUCAAAGCAAACAAGUAGCAACGGCAACAAAUAAAACCACAAAGUCUUUCAUAUAUCAUCCAUACUGUACAUUUGAGGACAAAAAUAAUAAGGCCAAUUCAGUCUUCAGAGCAAAGUGAAGCCAGAAAGAUAAUUUUCUUCAUCAUUUUAAAUGAAUCUAUUAGGCUGUCUUCAUUAUAAAUCUUUCUGCAUUGUUCGCAGUGGGAAAUAUGAUGCCAGAGUAACAUGUCUGUCAGAUUUGUUCUGGUUUAGCAGCUUGACAAUCAGGUCUUUAAAUUAAUGUAGGAAUUAGAACAGUCCAAAUUUAUGAAAGAUGCUUUGCUUAUUACAAGUCUACACUUGUGAAACAUAAAUCUUGAUGUAUCUUGGCUUUAUUUAGACAUAUCUAAUUGUUGGAGUCUUGAAUUAGCACAACUCAGAUCUGACUUGCAGUCCUAAAACCUCUAUUGUCUGUAGAAGAGAAGUACAGUUACUCCCCUAACAUGCAUUUCACAGUUAAAUGUGAAAAGAUUGUUCGGAUGAAUCUGUGUAUCUUCAUCUAUGAUGACUAUCCUAAUAAUAUUCUGAAAUGAUGAACGUGUAUAUUUCAGAAUAAAUCCUUUCGGUUUCCCUGAUGUGACUCUUUUUUCUCGGUAUGCUACAUGGUUUUUCCAAGGGGCAUUUCAAUCACCACAUAAAAUGUAGACUGUAAGGAUGUUUGGUUCUGAUUUCUUGCCUAACUGAAAUGCUCUAAUUUAAGCAGUAUGAUUAUUUGUUAGGAAAUAAAACAAACAAAUGAACAAAACAAAAA